rnacentral:rRNA from 1 species
AUUGAACGCUGGCGGCAUGCUUUACACAUGCAAGUCGAACGGCAGCGCGGGCUUCGGCCUGGCGGCGAGUGGCGAACGGGCGAGUAAUGCAUCGGAACGUGCCCAGUAGUGGGGGAUAGCCCGGCGAAAGCCGGAUUAAUACCGCAUACGACCUGAGGGUGAAAGCGGGGGACCGAAAGGCCUCGCGCUAUUGGAGCGGCCGAUGUCGGAUUAGCUAGUUGGUGGGGUAAAGGCUUACCAAGGCGACGAUCCGUAGCUGGUCUGAGAGGAUGACCAGCCACACUGGGACUGAGACACGGCCCAGACUCCUACGGGAGGCAGCAGUGGGGAAUUUUGGACAAUGGGGGCAACCCUGAUCCAGCCAUGCCGCGUGCGGGAAGAAGGCCUUCGGGUUGUAAACCGCUUUUGUUCGGGAAGAAAUCCUCUGGGCUAAUACCCCGGGGGGAUGACGGUACCGGAAGAAUAAGCACCGGCUAACUACGUG